GACGGAGGGUGCAAGCGUUGUUCGGAAUCACUGGGCGUAAAGCGCGUGUAGGCGGCUCGAUAAGUCGAAUGUGAAAGCCCGAGGCUCAACUUCGGAAGUGCAUUCGAAACUGUCGGGCUUGAGUACGGGAGAGGGAAGUGGAAUUCCUGGUGUAGAGGUGAAAUUCGUAGAUAUCAGGAGGAACACCGGUGGCGAAGGCGGCUUCCUGGACCGAUACUGACGCUGAGAAGCGAAAGCGUGGGGAGCAAACAGG
rnacentral:rRNA from 1 species